AAGAAAGCAACAGGUUUCGGGUGCCUGGAUAGCUGAGUUGGUAGAGCAGGCACCCAUAUAUAGCGAUUUACUCCUUGACGCAGUGGGCCAGGGUUUGACUCUGACUUGCGGCCCUUUGCUGCAUGUCAUU